rnacentral:tRNA from 1 species
GGUUCCAUAGUGUAGUGGUUAGCAUGCCCGCUUUACAUGCAGAAGGUCCUGGGUUUGUGCCCUCGGUGGAGCCA